rnacentral:tRNA from 1 species
GGGGUUGUAGUUCAGACGGUAGAACGUCGCAUUCGCAUUGCGAAGGUCGCGGGUUCGACUCCCGCCAACUCCA